rnacentral:lncRNA from 1 species
GCAGUCUUUUUUUUUUUUUUUUUUUUUUCCCUCUUGUGCUCUGUCACCCUGUUCUUGAGGUCUCUUUUCUCUGCUCCAUGCCACCGAGCUCUGUGGGAAAAAAGAAAAACCUGCUCCCUUCGCUCUGCUAGAAGCUGGAGGGUGCUAGGCCCCUGUGUAGUAGUGCAUAGAAUUCUAGCUUUCUUCCUCCUUUCUCUGUAUAUUGGGCUCAGAGAGUACACUGUGUCUCUAUGUGAAUAUGGACAGUUAGCAUUUACCAAUAUGUAUCUGUCUACUUUCUCUUGUUUAAAAAAAGAAAAAAAAAACUUAAAAAAAUGGGGUUAUAGAAGGUCAGCAAAGGGUUGGUUUGAGAUGUUUGGGUGGGUUAAGUGGGCAUUUUGACAACAUGGCUUCUCCUUUGGCAUGUUUAAUUGUGAUAUUUGACAGACAUCCUUGCAGUUUAAGAUGACACUUUUAAAAUAAAUUGUCUCCU